rnacentral:rRNA from 1 species
AUUGAACGCUGGCGGCAGGCCUAACACAUGCAAGUCGAACGAGUGGCGGACGGGUGAGGAAUGUCUGGGAAACUGCCUGAUGGAGGGGGAUAACUACUGGAAACGGUAGCUAAUACCGCAUACUAUCAGUUGAGCCCAGAUGGGAUUGGCUGGUUGGUGGGGUAACGGCUCCCCAGGGCAACGAUCCCUAGCUGGUCUGAGAGGAUGACCGUCCCACCUGGACCUGGUCCACGGCCCAGCCUCGUACGGAGGGAGGCAUUGGGAAAUAUUGGCAAAUGGGCGCAAGCCUACUGCAGCCAUGCGGCUGGUUUGAAGAAGUCCUUCGGGUUGUAAAGUCCUUUCAUCGGGGAGGCGUUACCCGCACAGGAAGCACCGGCUAACUCCGUGCCAGCCGCCGCGGUAAUAC